UACGGAGGGUGCAAGCGUUAUCCGGAUUUAUUGGGUUUAAAGGGUGCGUAGGCGGCCUAUUAAGUCAGGGGUGAAAGACGGUGGCUCAACCAUCGCAGUGCCUUUGAUACUGAUGGGCUUGAAUGCAGCUGAGGUAGGCGGAAUGUGACAAGUAGCGGUGAAAUGCAUAGAUAUGUCACAGAACACCGAUUGCGAAGGCAGCUUACUAAAGUGCGAUUGACGCUGAGGCACGAAAGCGUGGGGAUCAAAC
rnacentral:rRNA from 1 species